rnacentral:rRNA from 1 species
GACGAACGCUGGCGGCGUGCUUAACACAUGCAAGUCGAGCGAUGAAAGCCUUAUGAACUAUUCGUAGUGAUUGGGGCCGGAUUAGCGGCGGACGGGUGAGUAACGCGUGAGCAACCUGCCUUAAACAACGGGAUAGCCUCGGGAAACCGGGAUUAAUACCGGAUGAGACCCCGACUUCACAUGAAUAAGAGGUUAAAGAUUUAUCGGUUUAAGAUGGGCUCGCGUCUGAUUAGCUAGUUGGUGAGAUAAAAGCCCACCAAGGCAACGAUCAGUAACCGGCUUGAGAGAGUGAACGGUCACAUUGGAACUGAGACACGGUCCAAACUCCUACGGGAGGCAGCAGUGGGGAAUAUUGCACAAUGGGGGAAACCCUGAUGCAGCGACGCCGCGUGAGCGAUGAAGGAAUUCGUUUCGUAAAGCUCUGUCCAAGGGGAAGAUAAUGACAGUACCCUUGGAGGAAGCCCCGGCUAAAUACGUGCCAGCAGCCGCUGUAAGAC